rnacentral:lncRNA from 1 species
ACACUGGCAGAAGGGACCCUGAGCGAACCACAGGGACGCAAGAGGAAGAGGUGGUUCCGCAGGUCAGGCACUCGGGUCUGCCUGCCCUCUCUGUUCCCGCCUCCUCUUGACCUUUCGCCCCCUUCCUCGUAGCUUCCUAAUAUCAUCUUGGAGCACUAGAAUUUUCAGGGGCUCUGACUCUGAGUCCCAGAACCCUGUACCCGCCCUGUGGACAAUGCCGAGCGCGAUGCAGCCGGGCUCUGGAGCCUGACCCGGGGAGGCCGGAUUCAGCAUUUGGACAGCGGCUCGGGGGCCGGUUUGCGGCCCAAAGAGUUUGCAGGUGCACCGCCCUGGAUGAGGCGAGCCUUCUCUCCUCAGACAUGGUGGGAUGUACUCUGAUCUAGAGCAGGCAGCUGGCCAGAGGCCCACAGGGAGCUCAGUGAUUGGCCUCAGAUGACCUUGGGGACAAAGAUUGUCCUGUGAAGGGAAGUGAUGGCACAGGCUCUGAUCAGCUCUUCUGGGAACAGACAGAGAAGUGAGAAUUCCUGCCAAAGCCACAGGAUGAACACAGAGCCAAGAACCUGAACCAGAAAAAUCCAGCAGGAAAGGAACCUGCACUAGCCACCAUCCUGAGGCUGCUGUACAGGGAGCAAUCCUACCGCAGGGACUUGGCAGGAGACCAGGGGCCUGCUCCCCAGUCCUCCUCGAGGGCCUCUGUCACCGACCUGCUUGUCUAGGAUCUCCUUUCUUUCUGCUUGUGCCACAUCUUUCAGGCCUGUUCUGGGUCUGAUGUGCUAUAGAACACUCUGUUCAGGCACUUGGGAAAUAGAGACUUCAUCACCAGCAUUUCCACCCCCAAAGAACUAGGCAGCACACUGGGAAGUUGCCAAAGGAAGGGACUCCAGCCUCCCAGGAGUUAACAACAUUUCUCCCCAGCUAUCCUCCCCUUGGUGCUCCUCUUCCUCCCUCCUCCUGCUCACAGCAGGCAGGGCCUGGAACCAGGAGCCAUGCUGCUGUGCUGUUGCCAGGGGAGCUGGGAGGCAGAUCGGAGCUAUGCAGGGAAAAGGCUCGGCCUGUCAGAGUGUCUGAGAUGAACCACCGCCAUCCCUGUGCAGCUGGGCUCCAUGUGUCUCAGGGCUCUUGUUCUGUGCCUGAGAACGGUGAAGCCCAGCGAGGUUCAAGGGCACACUCGCUAUUCAUCAGUCGGGGGUUCUUGACGGUCCUGCCUCUCCCAGGGAUGGGUUCCCCCCUUCCUCUUUCUCUCCCUCCUAUGAUACAUUCCUGGGUGCCUGUGGUGAGGACUGCACACCCCCUUCUCCACAGCCCCCCCAAACCCUGAAUCAACUCCUAUUAAGGAGGCCAGGCGAGACAGGGACAAUGGCUUCAAGAAAUCAUUCAGGCGGGACCUCAGUCACAUUCGCAUGCCCGUCACUCCCAGAGCCCCUGUAGAUCCCACUCUGCUGUGAUUCAGGGACCCUUGGGCCCCCAGCUUGCACAUGCCUAGACAGGAGCAGGCCACUAGGUGCUGCCCUACACAACAGGCCAGUGCAGUGUUUGUUCUCAGGGACCCUGGGGCCUCCAUCCCACUGGCUGGAUAGUGUGUGCAGUCAGUUGGAGAGCAGAAACUACAAUAUUUUCUGAAAUGUGGUAAUAUCAAGAUAUAAGAGGCACAUAUACGUGAUGACUAAUUUCACUUCAGAUAUACUGGAAAAGUUUGCUAAGAACAUGGACAAAGACCUGUGGUUGAGUAACGAGUCAUUUCAUUCCAUGGAAUAUUACACACCUGUAAGACUGUGGUAGAUCUACCUCUGCAUGCAGGCUGAUAGGGAAGGUUGCUAAUAUACUUAAGUGAAUAGAAUAAAGUACAAAACAGUCAA